UACGGAGGGAGCUAGCGUUAUUCGGAAUUACUGGGCGUAAAGCGCACGUAGGCGGCUUUGUAAGUAAGAGGUGAAAGCCCGGAGCUCAACUCCGGAACUGCCUUUUAGACUGCAUCGCUUGAAUCCAGGAGAGGUGAGUGGAAUUCCGAGUGUAGAGGUGAAAUUCGUAGAUAUCAGGAGGAACACCAGUGGCGAAGGCGGCUUCCUGGACACCAACUGACGCUGAGACGCGAAAGCGUGGGGAGCAAACAGG
rnacentral:rRNA from 1 species